UCAGUUUCAGUCAAAUUUUUUUCAAAUUGGUACAAUCCUGUGCAGAUUGCAUGGUGCCUGCACUAGGAUGACAUGCAACUUUGUGAAGCGUUCCAUAAGUAU